GAUGAACGCUGGCGGCGUGCCUAAUACAUGCAAGUCGAGCGAACGGACGAGAAGCUUUCUUCUCUGAUGUUAGCGGCGGACGGGUGAGUAACACGUGGAUAACCUACCUAUAAGACUGGGGGAACUUCGGGAAACCGGAGCUAAUACCGGAUAAUAUUUUGAACCGCAUGGUUCAAAAGUGAAAGACGCUCUUGCUGGUACUUUUAGAUGGUGUCGCUCUGCAUUGGCUAGUUGGUAAGGUAACGCCUAGUCAAGGCAACGAUGCAGAUCCGACCUGAGAGGGUGAUCGGCCACACUGGAACUGAGACACGGUCCAGACUCCUACGGGAGGCAGCAGUAGGGAAUCUUCCGCAAUGGGCGAAAGCCUGACGGAGCGACGCCGCGUGAGUGAUGAAGGUCUUCGGAUCGUAAAACUCUGUUAUUAGGGAAGAACAUAUGUGUAAGUAACUGUGCACAUCUUGACGGUACCUAAUCAGAAAGCCACGGCUAACUACGUG
rnacentral:rRNA from 1 species